UACGAAGGGGGCUAGCGUUGUUCGGAAUUACUGGGCGUAAAGCGCACGCAGGCGGAUUGAUAAGUCGGGGGUGAAAUCCCGGGGCUCAACCUCGGAAUUGCCUUCGAUACUGUUAGUCUUGAGUCCGGGAGAGGUGAGUGGAAUUCCUAGUGUAGAGGUGAAAUUCGUAGAUAUUCGCAAGAACCCCAGUGGCGAAGGCGGCUCACUGGCCCGGUACUGACGCUGAGGUGCGAAAGCGUGGGGAGCAAUCAGG
rnacentral:rRNA from 1 species